rnacentral:rRNA from 1 species
UACGAAGGGAGCUAGCGUUGUUCGGAAUUACUGGGCGUAAAGGGCGCGUAGGCGGCACGGCAAGUCAGGAGUGAAAGCCCUGGGCUCAACCCGGGAACUGCUUUUGAAACUGCCGAGCUAGAGUGCGGAAGGGGCAACUGGAAUUCCCAGUGUAGCGGUGAAAUGCGUAGAUAUUGGGAAGAACACCUGAGGCGAAGGCGGGUUGCUGGGCCGACACUGACGCUGAGGCGCGAAAGCCAGGGGAGCGAACAGG